UACGGAGGGUGCGAGCGUUGUCCGGAAUCAUUGGGCGUAAAGGGCGCGUAGGUGGCCCGGUCAGUCUUUGGUGAAAGCGCGGGGCUCAACCCUGCGUCGGCCAGGGAUACUGCCGCGGCUCGAGCACUGUAGAGGCAGGCGGAAUUCCGGGUGGUAGCGGUGGAAUGCGUAGAGAUCCGGAAGAACACCGGUGGCGAAGGCGGCCUGCUGGGCAGUUAGCUGACACUGAGGCGCGACAGCGUGGGGAGCAACAGG
rnacentral:rRNA from 1 species